rnacentral:rRNA from 1 species
CGUCAGUCUUUGUCCAGGGGGCCGCCUUCGCCACCGGUAUUCCUCCAGAUCUBUACGCAUUUCACCGCUACACCUGGAAUUCUACCCCCCUCUACAAGACUCAAGCCUGCCAGUUUCAAAUGCAGUUCCCAGGUUGAGCCCGGGGAUUUCACAUCUGACUUAACAGACCGCCUGCGUGCGCUUUACGCCCAGUAAUUCCGAUUAACGCUUGCACCCUCCGUAUUACCGCGGCUGCUGGCACGGAGUUAGCCGGUGCUUCUUCUGCGAGUAACGUCAAUCRCYAAGGUUAUUAACCUUAAYGCCUUCCUCCUCGCUGAAAGUACUUUACAACCCGAAGGCCUUCUUCAUACACGCGGCAUGGCUGCAUCAGGCUUGCGCCCAUUGUGCAAUAUUCCCCACUGCUGCCUCCCGUAGGAGUCUGGACCGUGUCUCAGUUCCAGUGUGGCUGGUCAUCCUCUCAGACCAGCUAGGGAUCGUCGCCUAGGUGAGCCAUUACCCCACCUACUAGCUAAUCCCAUCUGGGCACAUCUGAUGGCAUGAGGCCCGAAGGUCCCCCACUUUGGUCUUGCGACGUUAUGCGGUAUUAGCUACCGUUUCCAGUAGUUAUCCCCCUCCAUCAGGCAGUUUCCCAGACAUUACUCACCCGUCCGCCGCUCGUCACCCGAGAGCAAGCUCUCUGUGCUACCGCUCGACUUGCAUGUGUUAGGCSUGCCGCCAGCGUUCAAU